CGUACGUCGCGGAGAUGUCUGCGCGAUGUCUUCUUUUUCGUCUGGAAGACGUAUUAUAUAGGGCGUUUGCUCAUCUGGAAGGCGUCGCCGAGACGUCCGACCCAGCUGUUUGCAAGACACCCAGCAGAUCUUUACAAGAUGUAUGUUAUUUAGAACGAUGGCGAGCCGCCGUUUCCCAGAUCUUUACAAGAUGUUAGAACAGCAAGCCGCUCUUUCACAGAUCUUUAGAAGAGCUUUAAAAGAUGCCGAGCCGCUCUUUUCCAGAUGUUUAGAAGAGCUUUAAAAGAUGCCGAGCCGCUCUUUCCCAGAUCUUUAGAAGAGCUUAAAAAGACGGUAAGCCGCUCUUUCCCAGAUGUUUGUAAGAUUAAAAGAUCCCUCAUUAACAAAUUGAAUUGCCCUAAACUACAGCAAAUUAUUUCUACACACAUCUACACAUGCAUGCUGUGUCGUCGAUAUUAAGUAAUUAAAACACAAUUUUCAAUUGAUCUUAAAACAGGCAGUUGUUGAUUUUAUAAAACACAUUUAUUCAAAUUAAACAAUGAAAACUUUCAUUCCUUUAUCUUUAAAGAUGCAUUUUACACGACAGUAUGCGAAAACAACAACAUAUAAACAUAACAUAUUUAAAAUAAUCAAAACCUUUCCGCGUCUGCAUUAUAAUCUCCAUUCUGAAAUAAAACAUUACAAAAAAUUACCCGGAAAUAAUCGUGAAAGGCUGUUCUUUCUUCAUAGCGUUAGGAUCUAGAAGAUAAAAUUACCCGAAAGUGUUGUCAUUGUUAAAUAAAUUACGAAUGUGCGUCUUUGCGUCAAGGUCAUGAUUCUACAUAACAACAUCCGCUUGACCUCGCAAUGCCAAGAAGAAGAAAGGCGUGGAACAUUUGCUUAAGCCUGUCAAGAUCUUCAGCAGAUGUUUGAGCAAAAAGUCAUCAUCCUCUUCGUCACUCUUCAUCCGUAUUUGGGGUAACAAGCACCUGCUUCCGACUGGACAGCUGAUGUCAGGUGGUUAGUCUUUAUUUGCAUUCAUCCUAGUACCGUCAAGACUGCUAUUGCAGCUGCAAAAAGACCUGCACCUUCCUUGAACAUGUUGGUAUCUUACUCUGUAUUUGUUCACGGUGGUCACCCCAGGGUCUCAGGACUCAAAUUGAGUGCUCUAUGGAUUAAACAGAAAAUGCAGUAUAAACAAGUGUUAUGUUGUCUUGAACAUGUUGGUAACUUACUCUGUAUUUGUUCACGGUGGUCACCCCAGGGUCUCAGGACUCAAAACGAGUGCUCUAUGGAUUGAACAUAAAAUGUAGUAUAAACAAGUGUUAUGUUUUUAAAUGCCACUAAUAAUGUGUUUCUGUUUUCUUUCUCAUUAUGCUAACAAACGCUCUUUUACCCCUCAUGUUAGGUAGAUCAACACUCCAACCAUCUGCAUUAGGGACUGAAUAAAGGAUGCCCUCUGUAGCUGGGAAUGUUAGAUCAGGCGGAUCAACAUUCCAUCCAUCUGCAUUAGGAUCUACCUUAGAGACACUCACUGGAGCUGUAAAUGGGAAGCAGAUAAGUU